UGCGUGCGUGUGUGCGUGUAGUUGGUCUGCGCUAGACAUGGAAGAAGCUUGCGGAGGGGUGUGCUUAUCGGGUCGCCAGCGCAGUGGGCGUGAUUGUGCGGGACACUACGGCCUUUUCUUAGUGCCGUGCAGUGACUGUGGUUGCAUAAUGACUCUAAUGAGCUGUUUUCAGUGCAUUACCCUUUGUUUUGGCGAUUGCAAGUCGCAAAUUGCAUGAAUGGUUGCUUGCUAAUCCUCACUAGUUUCGCCUUUUUCCUCCACCACUUUCCGCACGCAUAUCUAUAUACAGUGAUUGACACCUGCUGUGCAUUGAAUUUUUGCUUCUUGUAGUGUCAGAAAUGCGACUAGCCAAAUUAUUUGGGAUGUUUUCUGUUCGAGUGUGCUCGUGCUAUGGCACACUUCAUCCUUGUGUUAUUCGCGCUGCCUGAAGCCGGAACUUCGGAAAACGAAGUGAAAGGAACUGACCAUUUGAACUGACUUAUUGUCCAGUUCCCAGCUUAUACAGUGAUUUUUCGGCUGUGUGUUGUGUUUUUAGCUGGUUGCAUGAGCAAAUUGAACAAUCAUUCAGUUACUCCAGUUGAACGUUUUCACCCGUGAAAGAAUACUUUUGCACGCUGUGUUGCUUUAGUAUUUGGUACACCAAAGCAUACGUGCUUACAACUGCAAGUUCGGUAAAGCUUUGAGAAGAAACUUUUGUUUAAACGCGCUUAAUGUAGCUCAGGUUUAACAUGUUAUCCUAUGAAAGCUAGACACGCGCGAAGGAAAAAAAAGAAAAAAAAAUCAAUGCUCGAGCUUUGGUGAUUCAGGCAGCUAUGUGGAAGCUUUAAUAUUUCAGUUUUCAUUCGUUUGAAAGGUUAUUUGUUGUUGCGAACUAAAUUUGAUAGCAAAACAAAACGUUGUGUUGUAUUGUUUAUUUGAUGUUGUGUGGCUGGUGUGUGCAGUUAUCCAAAUGUUUUGAGCAAGUGAAUAUUUAAGUAGAAAAAAGAAGCAGUUGCGUGUGGUGUGCAUCUAUGCACGCAAGAAACGUACGAGCAAGGAUUAACUUGCAGCACUUAGUGACUGGUCCGUAGUAGUCAUUGGAAGUUAGAACUUCUCGCUUACAUUACAGUUAACAUUUGACUGCUUAGGUUUACUGAUUAGUACAUUCAUUGUUUGCCUUUGUUCGUAAGAAGUUGUGUCUAAUGAUCUCAGCUAUGUGUUAUAAAGUGGAUGUUGAUGAACCUAAACGCAUGUAAUCUGAAAAGGGCUAAUAAGAAUAGUCAUAGGGAAAAUGUGCUUCUGAGCAGCCUUAAUUAAAUUGGGGUUGCUGCACACAAUAGCCAUGAGUAAUAUACAAAUGUUCUUUUAUAGUCAUCAGAUAGCACUAAUGUGUGGCCUGUAUAUGGUCAUUUCUUUUCACAAAGUUGAUUAUCACCCCAAGUUUGUACAGUUGCCAUUCAUUUUAGUAGCGAAUUCUUGCAAUUAAAACAUGACAAAAGAAAUGCUGGGCUAAGCAAGAAAGCUUUAUUUAGUAUAUUAAUAGAUAAUCUUCAAGGAAGCAUUAUGGCAAGCUAUGGGAAUAUAUCACUACAGCCAUCCAGACACACUCAUCUUUUCCUUGAUGCAGAAACAAAGGUCACUACCUGGCCGUGUCGGUAUUGUGACUUCAUGUGCCCUUCUAAGCAUUACCUGGCCCUUCAUGAAGCGCGCCAUAUGGAUGAGCACGCAGAGAGCAUGAACAGACAACUUGCCUGGCGCCAGUCAGGCGUGAUGGUUCGCUGGAACCCGGAGCGCUCGUUUCGGUGCACCGUGUGUGGCAGGGGCUUCAACCAGAAGAUGAACCUCACGAGGCACAUGCAACGCCACACAGGCGAAAAGCCGCAUCAGUGCCAUCUGUGCCCCAAGCGCUUCAACCAGAAGUGUAAUCUUGAGCGACACAUACGCUGCCACACAGGCGAGCGACCCUUCCACUGCGCCUUCUGCCCCAAGAGCUUCAACUCCAAGUCCAACCUGAGUCGUCAUGAAGCGUGCCAUCUGGUGCAUGUGCCCGAAAUGACCGUAGUCAGAAAUACGGCGGAAAUGGCUCUUGUCCCCAACUUCAACAUUUGAAACCACAAGGAAUGGAAGAGUUGCUGCAUUAACCUGUUGUGUUGACUAUUAAUGUUAAUGAGCGUGUACAGAUGCCACAGCCAUUUAUAACACAUUCACAUGGCCUUCAACUCUCGCACCACCACCUGGCAGUAACUGUCAGCAUCAUUGGCGUUGUUGCACACAUUCACCACAGCCGGGUAAACCUCCCGCUGCAUGUGUACAUAACCCUGCUGAUAACAUGAGUAGUUGCUGCCAGAGUAUUGUGCAAGUGCUGUGCUCUUUCUCACUGUCAUAAAUAGUUGCGAGUUUUGUAAGCUUCUCUUCAAAAGUUCCCAAGUCAUGAUAAGCAUAACCUCAGCUAACUUUUGAAUGAGCAAGGUUUGUGUCAAAUCCACAGUGCUCUAACAUUCUGGAGGGUAAAAACAUGUUCUCAUUCCUCCACAAAAUGAUGUGCACCAUCUGUCUCAUGCAAGCCCCAUCAUGUAACUCGCAGCAGCUCCAGUCAGGCAUGUAGUGGCACAAGUUGUGGCCUGGUAGCACUAAGAAGACUGUACGUGUGUUUGAUGUUGUGUGUUCGAGUUCAUGCGGCAGGUGCUAAUGGUGAUAAUGGCACUAAUGGAGUCUCGAUUGUCACCUUCUCUAAUUUAGCAUUAUAUGGAGUAAGAUUGCUUCAUUGCAGUCUUUGAUGAGAUACGUGAAAUCUACAUGAUAGGAUUGUGGCAAAGAAAGGUUGUGAGCCAACAUGCAAAAGUGCUAAGGGGCGAUUGUGUUGAUGGAGCCAGCAAGUACAGGCAUCAGGAACAACAGCAUUGGUUGUGAGAAGUCGUAGCUGUUGAUAUUUAAUUUUCUGUGAUGUUGUUCAAGAAAUUUUCUUCACAUGGUCUGAGGAUGCUGGCCAUAAAUCGGCACUUUGGCACUGCGUAUUCAGUAUCACUGCUCAUUUGCUCGGCUCAGAAAAACGGUACUUCUGAGAGGUUCCUAGGCUGCAAAAUUUUAUAUUAUACACAGCAGCUAUUCACUCAAGUGGAAUAAUGACCUUAACACCAUACCUAAUUUAAGCGGCACUUCAUGCUUUGCUUGCGCUGUUUUGAGUUUUUAAUUUAGUCUUGUUUUAUGAUUACAUAUGUGAAUUAUAACAUGUGCAGCACUGAAGUGAAAAUUAUCAUAACUGCUACGCAUCUCGUCCACUUGAAUCCUCUCGCAAAUAGGCAGGAAUUGUCAUUCUAUAUAUACAGCUACUUCACAAGGAGGAGCGCAUGCAAUUUUCUGACAUCUUUAUUAAAAUUGUUUUUCUCAUGUUCAUACCUUUCUUUGCAGUGCAAUAUCAUAGAAUUAUGUACAGUGUUCUAUUUUGUUUAGUUUCAAAGCCAUGCUCUCUUUGAAGUGGAGGCAGGGCCGAAGUGAUACAAGCUGGUCAUUAUAUGGAGUGGUAGCUUCUUGUCUUUUUACCAAGCUCUGGCCAAGCGGUUUUUCUUUUUCUUGUUAGGAUGCCACAGAGACGUGCGGUUAGGUUUACAGCCACAGCUGUGCAUUUGUUUAGGGUUGAUGAAUUAUUUUGCUUUGUUACAGUGCAUCUUUUGCUUUAACAUGUUACACGCUUAUUAAAACAUAGAAAUGUGAUUGCCGUGAGGUGCUUCUGAAUACCGAGCAAUGCUUGUUCAAGAAAACUACUUGUUUAGACAGUAUGUUGUGUAAGGAAAAAGGUCAAAAUUCCCAGAUUGUGCCAGGAUAUCCUGUAUAUUUAUAUCACUAUUUUCAUAAGCUGCUUACUCAUCGUUACAUAAGCUUGGGACAUUUAGGAGUGUGCACUUAAACACAUGCUAUCGUUUCAUAGAAAAGUCAGUGUGCCAUCACUCUACUUCUCACUUGCGUGCAGUUCUUUUGUUUUGACUUAUUGGCAUAGAUGUCUGGCAUUUCCUGCUCACAUUUUUUUUUUUUUUACACCUAGUUGAGGUGGUUCUUUUUGUUGGCUUGCAUGUUUAGAAGCACGCAGUAUAUUAAUGUUUUGCUAAUGUCUUUCAUGCAUAUAUGUCGUGCAUACAGUUAUCUUUAGAGAUUGUUUCGUUUAGAAUUUUGUUAUUUGUUCAUGUUUCUUGCUACCCAAGUUUAUUUCUGUUCAUGAUAGAAUGCAAGGCUGUUGCUAUGCGCAGUUUUCAAGGCUGCAGCUGUGCAACCAUGUACUGGUCAUGAGUAUAGUUAUUGUUUUCGACUUGAUUGUUUCAUUUAACUAGACUAUGAAAGUGUUCUAUAGUGCUAAUUUUUGUAUUAUUUCAUUCUUUUAUUUUGCAAUUUUCGUCUAGGAUUUAUUCCCAUUUUCAAUGUUGAUCUUCACACUAUUGCUGUGUUCAGGUUUUUUUUUUUAUUAUUGUUCAGAUUUUCUUGUUGCUUUUGAGUGUUCAAAAUCUUUGCAGCUGUUCACCGUUGUUGCACUACUUGUAACCUAGUUAAAAUUUACGAGAAGCCCUUGUGCCAGUCAGGCUUUGGGUGUUAACUACUAGUCGUUUCAGCUUUCUUGGUCUAUGUUCAUCAAAACUUUUUUUGUGUGUGCAAGAAGAAAUAAAUGCAAGCACUCUGUUUCAA